rnacentral:rRNA from 1 species
UACGUAGGGGGCUAGCGUUGUCCGAAAUCAUUGGGCGUAAAGAGCGUGUAGGCGGUCCGGUAAGUCCGCUGUGAAAGUCGGGGGCUCAACCCUCGAAUGCCGGUGGAUACUGUCGGGCUAGAGUGCGGAAGAGGCGAGUGGAAUUCCUGGUGUAGCGGUGAAAUGCGCAGAUAUCAGGAGGAACACCUAUUGCGAAGGCAGCUCGCUGGGACGUAACUGACGCUGAGACGCGAAAGCGUGGGGAGCAAACAGG